CACAAUGAAGACCUUUUUGGGGAUAGCAGUGCUUUGCCUUUUACUUUGCCUGAUGUGGGCUGAUGAUAUUCCAGUGUCUGUGACCUGUAACAUUGGCAUCUUCAAGGUUACUGUGUAUAAAUAUAUGUUUGAAGAUGGUUUACUUGUGAAGGCCGAAGAACUGAUGCUUGGGUUGGGUUGUCGAGUUAAUGCGGAGAGAUGGGAUGUGUAUGUGCUACAGUAUCCUGUGACCGAAUGUGGGAUUGAACUUGAGGUUUCUGAACAAUAUUUGAUCUAUAAAACCUUUCUCUAUUAUUACCCAUUAAGUCACCCUCAUGAUCAUCAGCCUUUGUAUUUACCCCUGAUCUGCACAGUGCUCAACUUAAGUAUACCAACGUCAAACCUUGUUCCUGACCCACAACCUCAGACAAACAAAGAAAUGGAUGUCAUGAGAAUGCAGCCUAGUAUUUCCCAACAGUGUCAAGAAUUGUAA
rnacentral:lncRNA from 1 species